rnacentral:rRNA from 1 species
UACGAAGGGGGCUAGCGUUGUUCGGAAUUACUGGGCGUAAAGGGCGCGUAGGCGGCGUGUCAAGUCUGAUGUGAAAGCCCACGGCUCAACCGUGGAAGGUCAUUGGAAACUGAAAGGCUUGAGUACAGAAGAGGAAAGCGGAAUUCCACGUGUAGCGGUGAAAUGCGUAGAGAUGUGGAGGAACACCAGUGGCGAAGGCGGCUUUCUGGUCUGUAACUGACGCUGAGGCGCGAAAGCGUGGGGAGCAAACAGG